CCUGAGUAACGGCGAGCGAAAAGGGAUGAGCCCAGCGCCGAAUCCUCGGCMWMMGGCCGUGGGAAAUGUGGCGUUUAGGAGUGAGCGUGUGGUGUUCGGCGACCUCGGCAAGUCCCCCUGAACGGGGCCUGUCCGUAGCGGGUGAAAGGCCCAUAACCGUGGUUAGUCGUCACCCGUGCGAUCUCCUUGGAGUCAGGUUGCUUGGGAGUGCAGCCCUAAUCGCGUGGUAAACUCCACGUAAGGSUAAAUACCGCCGUGAGACCGAUAGCAAACAAGUACCGUGAGGGAAAGUUGCAAAGAACUUUGAAGAGAGAGUUCAAKAGUACGUGAAUCUGCUCAGAGGCAAACGGGUGGGCCCUCGAAAUCCUGUGACGAGAGGAUUCAGUCUCUGACGGCAGACGCCUGGGAGGAAAUCUCMGAGUAGAGCUCCCGCSAACGUGGGCCGUCCUCCARGGUGACUUCGACUGCCUAAGACGCAUUUCUCUCUCGUCCUAAGGACGCUGCAGCCGGGUUAGAAGUGCAAGCAUGACGGUCUGGAGGUYGGGAAMCGGCAGGUGGCCGGUGGCGCACCUCGUGUGCUCUGYCGGUUGUUAGCCAUCCCGUCAGUGACCCGUCUCUAACCCGUUGUUUCGKGAKGCCCUUCGGGGCGUCCACGUCUCCGAUCCGAGUCGCAGMACAGGGCUUGGCCAGGAUGCUCUCUUUCGACUGYCGCACUUCAGCGAAGUGGGUUGANNNNNNNNNNUUCUGCAUCGCCGAGACGGAUCUGCGGGAGACUGGAGGCUGGCAGCGAGUAGGUCGGUCACCCACCCGACCCGUCUUGAAACACGGACCAAGGAGUCUAACAUGUGCGCGAGUCAAUGGGUCUUGACUAUGCCCAUGGGCGAAAUGAAAGCAAAGGAC
rnacentral:rRNA from 1 species